rnacentral:rRNA from 1 species
GACGAACGCUGACGGCGUGCUUAACACAUGCAAGUCGAAGGGAGUGGCGAACGGGUGAGUAACACGUGAGUAACCUGCCCUUUUCUUUGGGAUAAGCCUGGGAAACUGGGUCCAAUACUGGAUGGAUUGGGAUGGGCUCGCGGCGUAUCAGCUUGUUGGUGGGGUGAUGGCUUACCAAGGCUUUGACGGAUAGCCGGCCUGAGAGGGGGGUCGGUCACACUGGGAGUGAGGGACGGCCCAGACACCUACGGGAGGCAGCAGAGGGGGAUAGUGGGCAAUGGACGAGGGUCUGAUGCAGCGACGUCGUGUGGGGGAUGAAGGCCUUCGGGUUGUAAACUCCUUUCACCCGCGAAAUGGUAGUGGGUAGAGAGGCGCCGGCUAACUACGUGCCAGCAGCCGCGGUGAUUC